UUUUUUCCUGUGUGGUGGAUUUAUCAGCAUAGAAAUCAUAACCCGGCAUGCAUCAGAUCUGUAUUAAUAUAUCAUAUCUAACAGUAAUUCAGUGAAGACUUGAAAACAUCUGAGAAAUGUACUUUUUACAUCUAAUAAUGUUUUAAAAUUAUAAUUAUACAUCGUUGUUAUGUUAUAAAGGUCUUCAUUCACAGAAUGCAACAUGCACAAUGGGCAAUUAGGCAAAUAAAUGUGUGAUGCAGCAGUUUCCUUCAGGAUCAAAGCAUGUUUCAUUUUUUGAGACAGCAUGAAGAGGUGUAGUUCCAAAAAUGUACUGUGAUAAACCCUUUAGUUAAAAAAAAAUUAUCUGAACUAAAUUAACCAGUUAUCAGCAUUUAAAAAUAAUGUUUUCACUCCAGAACAACUGAAAAUCACAUUGUUGCAGUUUUUGGUUACAUUCUGCUACAAAUUCAGUUUUCGUUCCUUGAACCGUUUUUAGUCCCUGGUACAAUCUCCAAAGUUGCUUAUUGCAAAGAGUUUAACUCUAAUAACGUGAAUAUUUAAAUCUAUAAUUAGUAGAUUGAAUGUAGUCUUUAAUAAUCAUGAAAUAUGGAAUGUUCAGUUUGGCCCUCAUUGUUGUGCUGCAAAUGAUCAUAUUUCUCUCUUCCUUCAGUUGAUAUUUUCCUCUGCUGUUUGUCGCUUAUGGUCUCAGUGUUGGUGUGGGCAGUAGACUGGGCUUUGACAGCAUGUCAUGUUUGUGCUCGGGGGCAGCAGGCAGACGACCAGCUAUAGCCGCACUGACAGCUCUGGUGUGCUUUGAUCCUCAUGUGCUCUUCAUUCCAUCCACAGCCUGUGUCACUCAAACCAAAAUUCUCCUGCACUGUGCCUUUAUUUAGACACAAGUGCAAACACUGCAAAAAAUCUAUUUCUUAAUAAUAAUAAUAAAUGAUUAAGAAAUAGUCUUGUUUUCCAAUAAAAAGAUAUAAAUAUAAGAAGCAAUACUGUGUAAGAUAAGACAUGUUUUCAGAAAAUAUAUCUUGGAUUUUGAAAAUAUCUUCUUUAAGAAUGAACCACACUAAAUUGUUUCAAAAAAAAAAAAAAAAAAAAAAAUAUAUAUAUAUAUAUAUAUAUAUAUAUAUAUAUAUAUAUUUGUGCACAAUACAAGAAAAAAAAUGUCAAUGAGGUAAGAAAAAUAAACCUCAUGUGAGGUAUAUUUUCUGAAAACUAGUUUUAAUAUUUUAUGCUGUUUUGCCUCUCAAGUAAGUGAAUGGGAGUUUAUUUAGAAGAUAUUUGCAAUGGAUAACAAUACAGUGCAGAAAUACAGUGCAGAUUUUUUUCUCGUCAUUAUUAGAUGAAUUGUCAUUUUAGCAACCAUUUUUAUUGACAAUCUGUGCAUGUCAUUACAUUUUCACAGCACAAAAUGAAGGCGUAUUUAUAAAGGGUUCAAAACAAACAAGAUUUUCCACUUCAAGGAGAUUUGUUUCUGAUAAUAUACAGUAGUUCUUAAUAUAGCGUCAUCAGUCAUAAACUGAUGUGUAAACAUUUCAAAGCAUCUUUUGUGGAACAGGAUGUUUCGUACAACAUGCAACAUGUGGCCAGUCUGGUUUGAAGUUAUUCUGUCAGCAGACUUUAUGGUGGAAAAUCCUCUUCUUAUGAAAGAGAGAUGCCUAUUUGCACAUUCACUUAUCUUCUGUGCAUAUGCUGACAAAAACAUGCCUCUGUUCUUUUUAUUAUACUUCCUUUCCUGUAAUCCUUCUUUAUGAAACGUCUGCCGUUCUUAAAGCUCAAGUUUGUGUUCUUUAAUGUCAACAGUGCGUUGUCCUGUGCCAAUAAAUGAAAAAGGGAAAACAGAA